GUGUUCUUUGUGUCAGUGAGAGAAAAAUGCAUCACUAGCACACGUGUGUGGCAGAAGAGAGCACAAGAGCAUAAGAGAAACGAAGCUUGCACUCUUUGAGAUUCAUAUCAGUCAUUCAUCUGGUCAGAUUACAAAAAGAAAUCAUCUCACAUAGCUGAUGCAUCAUCACUUCCACUAUGUCAGGGAAGUUGCAUAGCAGUCAGAGAUAGAGUCAUUACAGUCAUAUGAUUGAUGUGUGAAAUGGCGUGCAAGGCAUGAGGUACGAUGGUGUUGAUGCUUUUACAUUGUCCUGAUAAUGAUGCUCUUCCACGAGGUUGUGAAUGAGAAUAAUUUUGCAUGUGGGGCAGCUGCUGAACUCACAGCAGCAAUAAAUGUAGCAGGCAACUUCCACCAUUCAUACAAAUGAUAUAUCAAAUUAAACCCUGCAUAAGAAACACAAGCAUAUGGGCACUAUCUGAAUGUCAAAAUCUGUCCAGGAUUUGAAAGUUACACCUUCUACCGAGUUCAGUGACUUCCAGAUGAUGUGAAUUACACAGUGUUUGAUCCUUAAAUAGUAUUCCUGAGAUGACAUAAAAAUGUGAUUCCAAAUUUCAUAGAUAAUGUUGAUGUUUAGCUGAUGUUUUAACUUUAUCCAAUAAAUGAUAUAAAAGAUUAGCUGCUGUGAUAUCACCCAUUGGUUUCUGAGCUUUGAAACCUUGAGAUGAGUGUUCCUGCCAUCACCAUUUUGGUUGCACGAACCUGAUUGUGAGGAUAGAUAAGGGGCGGGUCUUGGUGUAAACACACUCACUGGCUAAAGACCUAUGAAUGACAUCUCACUUGUCAGAAAGCGUGUGGUUUUGUGGCAGAGAUCAUUUUUCAUUUUGAAACAUGGUUGGAACAAAGUUUACAAAAUAGAAUUAAUUCAGUACGACUUAGAAUGAGUUCCUGAACCAUUAAACCCAACAGGAAGCUGUUUACAGAAGUGAGGUCAGAAAGCCAUUUUCCCAUAGACCUCUACAGGAUAGAAAGUCUUUUAUGACUUAAGCUUUCGUCAUCUGGGGGCUUUCAGUCAAAAUGCAGGUUUAAGGCAUCUUAACAUUGGCUUAAUUUUUCCGACCUGGAGGCUGUGUGCAUGUUUUAUACUGUCUAGGGUUUAUUCAAGACAUUCCAUCAACUUUUUCGAGUGUGUGCAUCUUUUCUUUCACUGAUUAAAUGUUCCAUGGUCAAUUAUUUAGAUCACAGUGUAAUUCUUCCCAGUUUAGAAUUAUUUUUUGAUGUCCAACUAUUGAACAUACAAUAGUAUUGUAAUUAAAUAAGUAUAUCUGAUGGUUAAAUACAAAGUACCAUCAAGCAACUCAUUUUUAGAACAAUUUCCCUCAGGAUAAAUAAAGUAUUAUUAAUCAAUCAAUCAAUCAAUCAAUCAAUCAAUCAAUCAAUCAAUUUUUCACUUUUUGCAGCCCGGCAGUUCUUGCAGCUGAUACCAUGGAGACAGUUAAGUCACCACAUGGUCCUGCUUGCACACUCUACUCAUCCUUUUUCCUUCUCUUCCCUAUUUUGUCUUCAUGCACACAAAUGUCAGUAAAGUUGCACUAUUUCAGCAUCUUGCUCAGCUGGAGAGAAAAAAGCUUUAAACAAGUGACAUUUUUAUUAGUUGCAGUUUAUAAGCUAUUCAAAAUGUAGCAGUUGAUAAUCUGGAAAUUUGAAGCUUAUUUGUUAUAUGCCAAUGAAUUUUAAUGUAUUCCAUUUUAAACAGAGGAUCUGUUCAUUAUGUUUUGUUGUUAUCUGGUUAUCUAUCAUAUUGUAAAAGAUCAUUUCAUGGUAUUCUAUGGUUACACCAGACAGUAAAUGCAGACAAAACCUCUGUUUUAUAUUAUUGCACAUUGAAGUUUACAGAUGAACUAUGUUGCAAUGGUGCAGGGUAGACUCUGAUAUCCAUGAUUGCUGUUAAGUUGGGUCCAGAGUAGCAACAGAGAUAUUAUGGCACUCAAAGACAUCUAAAUGAAAAUACAGUGGAGAACAGCAAAAAUGGUGGUAGAAGCUUUUAAAACUGCUUAUUUGUGUACAAAGUCAGCAAACUUAAAAAAACUUUUUUUUUUUAGCAGAUUUGAUUGGAUGUUCAACACAGUAGAUGCAAUUUUGGUUUGGUCACUGAAAAUAAAAGCUAAUUUAUAUAACUUUUCAUAAUAAGUGCCCAGAUGUGUUUCAGUAUGCUGCUGGCUUUAAUAACACUUAGCUAUUUUUUGCUGGCUAAGAUGUAGAAAUCAGCCAUAAUACAGUAGCUUAUAUAACAUCUGCUUAUAUUCUGUAGAGUAUAGUUGCCUAAAUCCACAGUCAUUACACUUUAGAACCAACAGCAGCAGGUCAUCUAAUCACACUUUAUCCACAAAAAAAUCUGCAGUCAUGGUAAAGUAAACCCUCUCUCUAAAACUUUAUGUAUCCGGGCCUAAUAGAAGAAAUCAUCCAGUUUUUAUUAGCUUCUAAAAAUAUUUAAAUAGCGCUCAUAUAAAGAAUAAAUCGUGACAUAUUAUAUGGCAUCAUUUAUUUUGUAAAGACUAAGCCAAAAUGCAGAAGUGGUGCAUUAAAAAUAAAGUACACCCCACGAUUCAAUAGCUUGUAGAAUCACAUUUAGAUGUAUGAAUUUAGCUGUUGCUUACAUCAUUAUGUUAUGUUAUUCAUUAUGUUAUGUUUUGAAUUUCCCUCGGGAUAAAUAAAGUUCUUCUUAUUUUAUCUUAUCUUAUCUUAUUAUUUUUGCCCACUGUUCUUUAAAAUGCAGCUUGAAUUCUUUGAGCUUUAUUGGCAUUCACCUGCACAACUUCUUUUCUAUCUUUAGCUGUUGGAGAGCUGGCCUCACAUAUGACUCUAGAAUACUGCAAAACAAGCCCCAAUCAUUACCCUUCCACCACCAUGCUUGCCAGUUAUAAUGAGUAGUCUGUGCUGACAUGCUGUGCUUGUGGGCCUGUGUACACAUUAUGCCCAAAGAUUUCCACUGUUGUUUUGUCUGCCCAAAGGACAGUGUUCCAGAUAUUUUGUGGUUUGUUCAGACACGACUUCCAAACCUAAGCCAUGCUGCCAUGUGUCUUUUUUUGUUUUUGUUUCGAGAGAAGACGCUGGGAAAUUGUUGGAAUCAUGCCAUGCUUGUUCACUCUUGUAAUUGCACUAUGAGGAACUUUAACAUUCGGCAUGGUAACUACAGAGCCAACUUUUGAACAACUUUGAACAACUUUUAUUUUCUACUUGUGAAUAAUCUUAUACACUGUGGAGUGAUGAACUUCAUAUUGUUUGAAAAUUACCUUAUAACCUUCUGGAGAUUAAUGGGCACCAACAGUUGCUUCUCUAAGAUCUCUGCUGAAGGCUUUCUUCCUUUGCAUUAAAACACACCUGAAUGCUCCAGACCAGAAAUCUGCUAAAAUGUCAGCUUUUUUAAAGGUGGUCAUACUUGCCAAUGUUCAAUCAAUCAGUCAAGCUCAUUUGGCUAUCAGCACCUUCUUGCUACGUUCCCUCUUUAUGUCAGGGUCCUGGGUCUGAGCGACCCAGGGACCCUGAGUAGUUAUGGACUAAUAUUAUAAUGUAUGUAUUUUGUAUUGCUGUCCCUCGUUCUCCCUGCUUGUAGAUAUGUGUACGUAGGUAUGUGUGUGGGUGUGGCCCUGGCAGGUGAUUGGCCACACCUGAAGACCUUGACACACCUGCAGCUGAUCAGGCCUCGUCGGAGGAGCUACUUGAGAGUGUGGCGGAGCUCUCUCCGACGCUGGAUCAUUGCGUGGCUUCACGAGUAGCGAGAGACGAGAGGGCAGCGAGCACGGGGUGCUCAUCACGGAGAAGCGGAGACAGAAGCACUAACACUGGGAAGAGGACACGUCACGGGAGUCGGGAGAGCACGGGAUUUAUUGUCAUGUUUUUCCAUCAAUGUAAAUAAACGCACUGCUUGUACUA